rnacentral:misc_RNA from 1 species
GUUAGAAUUGUCACACAAUUUACAAUUGUUAAUGAGAGUAGAAUUAACAUGCCCUAAGAAACAUUAUUUUGCAAUUUCAUGUCAUUCUAUGAUGUCAAAGAGUAUUUUCAUAAUAUAAUUUAACCCUAUUUAUUGAUUUAUUGUACAAUAUUUUUUAAUCUCAAAAAUGCAAAUAAAAGACAAGAAAAUCUAAAACCAAACUUCUUCGCAUCAUAUGUAAACCUAUGUCAAUAUAACAAGAUAUUCUAGCAAAUGGAGUUUGAUCCAUGUUUGAGCACAUAUGCAUCAUGAUAUGCAUG